rnacentral:rRNA from 1 species
AAGCGGAAUUGCCGGUGUAGUAGUAAAAUGCGUUAAUAUCGGCAAGAACACCAAAUGCGAAGGCAGCUUGCUAGAACGGUUCUGACACUCAGGGACGAAAGCGUGGGUAGCGAUACGGAUUAGAUACCCGUGUAGUCCACGCCCUAAACGAUGGGUACUGGGCAUUGGGAGUAUCGACCCUCUCAGUGCCGUAUAUCAAAGCUAACGCGUUAAGUACCCCGCCUGGGGAGUACGUCCGCAAGGCUAAAACUCAAAGGAAUUGACGGGAACCCGCACAAGCGGUGGAGCAUGUGGUUCAAUUCGACAAUAAGCGUGGAACCUUACCAGGGCUUGACAUGCUGGAAGUAUUCACCCGGAAACGGGAGAUGACCGUUAAAUCGGAUUCCAGCACAGGUGCUGCAUGGUUGUCGUCAGCUCGUGUCGUGAGAUGUUCCGUUAAGUCGGGAAACGAGCGCAACCCUCACGGCCAGUUAAAUUUUCUGGCCGAACUGCCCCGCA